GGUAGUAGCAGCUCAGUGGGUAAGACACUAGAUUUCUACUCAGAAGGUCGUGGGUUCAAAUCCCAGUGCCACCA